rnacentral:rRNA from 1 species
GUGCCAGCAGCCGCGGUAAUACGGGGGGAGCAAGCGUUGUUCGGAUUCAUUGGGCGUAAAGGGCGCGUAGGCGGCCCGGUAAGUCUGACGUGAAAUGUACCGGUUCAACCGGGGCACUGUGUCGGAAACUGCUGGGCUUGAGGUCGAGGGAGGAAAGUGGAAUUCCUGGUGUAGCGGUGAAAUGCGUAGAUAUCAGGAGGAACACCCGUGGCGAAGGCGACUUUCUAUCUCGAAUCUGACGCUGAGGCGCGAAAGCUAGGGGAGCAAACGGGAUUAGAUACCCCGGUAGUCC